UGUCAGUCUCUCCAGCCAGUCAGCCGGUGUAACUCGGUGGGGGAUCAAAGGCAGCAGGGUUUCUCUUUCUCCUUCCUUAGUUUUCCAGUCAGGUCACCCCCCCCCCCUUCCUUCCCCCUUUGCCUCCCCCACCUCCUCCUCCUCCUCACCCUCCUCCUCCUCCUCCUCUUCCUCAUCCUCCUCCUCAUCUCGCUUCCCUCUCUCCUCCUCUUCCCAAUUAUUCCCUGAUUUUCCUUCCUCGCCCGGCUGUUAAAUCCACUCUGCAUCCUUCUCUCCUUCUCAUCCACGGCGGCCGCUCGCUGCUCCUGCUUCCUCUCCGUCCAUCCGUCCGAGCCGAGGCGAAGGCGAGGAGUGUGUGCGUGUGUGCAGCCUCUCUUUCACUCCCUCUCCCUCUCCCUCUCUCUCUCUCUGCCUUCUCUCUUUAAUCAGCAUGUUAAUAAGAAAGGUAACUAAUCAAUACAUUCAAUGGCCUGGCUUGGCGAUUGAUACCAUCUCCAUCCACCUCCCCCUCGCUCUCUCCGCCAGCUAAACACACACAGGGUGACACACACACACACACACACACACACAAAUACACAGCUGGACUGGAGGAGGACUAUCUUGGGUGCAGGGCCCACUUAAUUCAGAUUACAACAUUUAAAAAACAGUCAAAUCUGAGCGGAUAGUCGAGGAUUUUGAGUGAUUCCCAGGUUACGAACGCGCAGGUGUGUAAAUAGUGACUCACUUCCGAGCAUCAAGGAACAAAAAUGGCCUUUGAGAUGAAACUUAAAGGUUGAAACUUCCAACGCUGAGAUGGAGGCUGUUACUGCAGACGAAUGCUUCAAGAAAACAGCUUCUAUUGAUCGUUCAAAUGCAGGGAGAAAAACACAAGAAAAGGACAUCUGCAGAUUUUGAUGUAACACAAGCAAAAACAAGGAAUGAUGCGGCAAAACCUCGUAGAGGGGAGAUUUCAGGUGCGAGGAUUUGAUUGGGUGGCCGUUUUGUUAAAUCACUCAAUAACGGAUCAAUUCCUAGUCAUACGGCGUCAUCUUAUUCGACGCAUAGGGAGUCUGGACAACACUGUCUGAGAACGAAUAUUACAACGCGAGGAUCACUUAGAUCCGCAAACCUCAAGCAGAACCAGAGCUCUACUGAGGACAGCCAUCUGCUUUUUCUAUAACCUUGGCUAUCGUCCCUUCUGAACCAAAACCAUAAACAGCCUCUCCAUGUUCAAGACCGUCGAACUGCCUCGGCUUUUGUCCUGGAGGAGAGGGCUUAAAAGGUCAAAGGUCCAGGAAGAGGCCACUAAAUCUGGAGCUGGACAAUACCCCUUUUUUCCACACCACAUCCGUUUAAUGUUCGACGAUUUUGAUGCCACGAAUAUUUCCUACUCUUUGCGGCUUCUCUCACUUGGCUGUAAGCGUUACGUUCGAGAUGCUGCGAUGAAUUUAUCCUGCUGCUGUUUUCAGUUUCUGCAGACCUUUAAAAUCUUUACAGCUGAGAGAAAACGGGGAACAAACUUUCCACUUCUAUGAGCAAAAGGCCAGGCCACCAUAUUGACAUUUUACCUUUUCUGAGAGACUCUCUGUGACUGUGUGCUACAGGAGUUCAGGGACGAGGUGAAAUGUGGAAACUGGUUUAAUUAUAGAGAUGAGGAAUUAAAGGGCUGUUUCAAAUAAAUAUUGCAGAAAUCAAACUGGAUCAUUUUUGACAAUUUGAAGCCAAGGCAAGAGAAAAGUACUGACACCAGCGUGUAGCGAAAAAGAUGAAUAAACAACUCGUACUGUAAUACUUCAUUUUACAGAUAUAAAAACAGGCAUGGAUUACUGACGGCUUCAGGAGACAGGAUCAAACUAUCAGGCUUAUUUGACGCUCAAAGCUAAGAUCGCCAUCGCAACUGACACCAACAUUUUUAGCAGAAGCUGUACGAACAUUUUUAAAGGUUUUAGGUUACCUAAAUGAGCAACGAUCAUUUCUGAAGUUGUGUUUUUCCCCCUAUCCCAUUUUUUCCCCUUGUUUGUCGCUCUUUUUUUCCGCUAUGCAAUCCCCAAAUCCACCCAUGUAGCAACUUUGGUGCACAGUUCAAUGCAACAAAAUAAAUCCAAUAUGAGAUUGUGCACUCAUAAUUGCACAAAAGGUUGCAAUUGGUGAUUGAAAUAAACAUGCACGUAUGUCCCCUCUUUUGAGUCAUCGGCUGCUCUGAUGUGUAUGCGUGUGUCUGUGCACAGCAAGAUUGUUUGGGUACAUGCGUGCAGAGUGACCAUUAUGGAAGCUAAUAAACAGAUGCAUGUUGAACUGGUAUAGUAUUAUACAUUUAGGUUUAACCAUUUUUUUCCAGAAAGAAGAGCUGUGCAUAAACACUGUUAUUGUGUUUGUAUUUUAAAGUGAUGCAUUUAUUUUAAAAAUUAGGGGAAUAAAGCUUUAAGAUAUUUUUAAUCGAGAAACACACAUAAUUAAUGCAUGCUCCCUAAUAACCAAGCCAACAGGCUCAUAAUACCCUUAUCAUAUUAGAGUUGCAAACCGAACUAUUGCUCACUAUAUCCAUUAAUUGCACUUGUCAUGAUAUAUGUUCUGGUAUUUGGUUCUCCCCUGGUUUUGUUCUGUUCAGUGUAUUUCUCUGUGAUUUUCCCUAGUGUUUCUGUUCUCCUGUAGUCCUGUCUUGUGAGUUUUCAGUUUGUGUCUGACAGUGUUUCCUGUUUUAUUUUGAAGUAGUUGAUUCCCUGUAUUUCCAGUCUACUAUUUCCUCAGUUUUCCCUCCUCUG